rnacentral:sRNA from 1 species
UAACCAACCUUCUUUUU